AUUGAACGCUGGCGGCAUGCCUUACACAUGUAAGUCGAACGGCAGCACGGGAGCAAUCCUGGUGGCGAGUGGCGAACGGGUGAGUAAUAUAUCGGAACGUGCCCAGUAGUGGGGGAUAACCCGGCGAAAGUCGGACUAAUACCGCAUACGACCUACGGGUGAAAGCGGGGGAGUCGCAAGACCUCGCGCUAUCGGAGCGGCCGAUAUCAGAUUAGCUUGUUGGUGGGGUAAAAGCCUACCAAGGCGACGAUCUGUAGCUGGUCUAAGAGGACGACCAGCCACACUGGGACUGAGACACGGCCCAGACUCCUACGGGAGGCAGCAGUGGGGAAUUUUGGACAAUGGGCGCAAGCCUGAUCCAGCCAUGCCGCGUGCGGGAAGAAGGCC
rnacentral:rRNA from 1 species